AUUGAACGCUGGCGGCAUGCCUUACACAUGCAAGUCGAACGGCAGCACGGAGCUUGCUCUGGUGGCGAGUGGCGAACGGGUGAGUAAUAUAUCGGAACGUACCCUAGAGUGGGGGGUAACGUAGCGAAAGUUACGCUAAUACCGCAUACGAUCUACGGAUGAAAGUGGGGGAUCGCAAGACCUCAUGCUCAUGGAGCGGCCGAUAUCUGAUUAGCUAGUUGGUAGGGUAAAAGCCUACCAAGGCAUCGAUCAGUAGCUGGUCUGAGAGGACGACCAGCCACACUGGAACUGAGACACGGUCCAGACUCCUACGGGAGGCAGCAGUGGGGAAUUUUGGACAAUGGGCGAAAGCCUGAUCCAGCAAUGCCGCGUGAGUGAAGAAGGCCUUCGGGUUGUAAAGCUCUUUUGUCAGGGAAGAAACGGUUGUCUCUAAUACAGAUGGCUAAUGACGGUACCUGAAGAAUAAGCACCGGCUAACUACGUGCCAGCAGCCGCGGUAAUACGUAGGGUGCAAGCGUUAAUCGGAAUUACUGGGCGUAAAGCGUGCGCAGGCGGUUAUGUAAGACAGAUGUGAAAUGCCCGGGCUUAACCUGGGAACUGCAUUUGUGACUGCAUGGCUAGAGUUUGGCAGAGGGGGGUAGAAUUCCACGUGUAGCAGUGAAAUGCGUAGAUAUGUGGAGGAACACCGAUGGCGAAGGCAGCCCCCUGGGUCAAGACUGACGCUCAUGCACGAAAGCGUGGGGAGCAAACAGGAUUAGAUACCCUGGUAGUCCACGCCCUAAACGAUGUCUACUAGUUGUCGGGUCUUAAUUGACUUGGUAACGCAGCUAACGCGUGAAGUAGACCGCCUGGGGAGUACGGUCGCAAGAUUAAAACUCAAAGGAAUUGACGGGGACCCGCACAAGCGGUGGAUGAUGUGGAUUAAUUCGAUGCAACGCGAAAAACCUUACCUACCCUUGACAUGGCUGGAAUCCCUGAGAGAUUGGGGAGUGCUCGAAAGAGA
rnacentral:rRNA from 1 species